UACAGAGGGGGCAAGCGUUGUUCGGAAUUACUGGGCGUAAAGGGCGCGUAGGCGGCCUGUUAAGUCGAACGUGAAAUCCCCGGGCUCAACCCGGGAACUGCGUCCGAUACUGGCAGGCUUGAAUCCGGGAGAGGGAUGUGGAAUUCCAGGUGUAGCGGUGAAAUGCGUAGAUAUCUGGAGGAACACCAGCGGCGAAGGCGGCAUCCUGGACUGGUCCUGACGCUCAGGAGCGAAAGCGUGGGGAGCGAUCCGG
rnacentral:rRNA from 1 species